CAGGGGUCCAGCAGGCUCCCCUUUCACCAGGACAGGCAGAAACCGAUCUGUGGAGGAGCCCAGUCAGCGGGAGAGCCCUGCGGUCGUUCUUCCCUGAUGGCAGGACCUCACGGGCCACUGUGCACGGGGGAAAAGACAGAGAUGUAUUGGGGAUUCCUGGCUGUGGACUGACCCUGGUUCCAGGAGAUCCCAGACCUCACUGCAGCCACCCACCAGAGAAAGGCUCAUGCAGGAUUUGUCACCAAGUUCCAGUCUGCCCCUGGUUAAGUCCGGUCACUGCAGAACAUUUGGUGCUCUUCCUGCGCUAUUACUGAGAAAGAUUCUAAGGCUGUGACCUCACUUGGACUCCACGUUCCCUGCUUACGCCCGCCCCCACCAUCUUCGCGUGGGGUGUGACCUCGUAUUCUCGGUCCCGUCUCUGUGACAGUGACUCACCCUGUCCUGAACUCCUCCUGUGCUGGUUCAGGACUGAGACCGGGUCAUGUUCUCAAGCACCAUCUCCUCGCCUUGAAAGGAAUAAACUAGUUCUAAACUGAA
ensembl:lincRNA